ACUGGUUUAUACUGGUCCAUACUGGUCCAUACCGGUCCAUACUGGUUUAUACUGGUCCAUACUGGUCCAUACUGGUCCAUACUGGUCCAUACUGGUCCAUACUGGUCCAUACUGGUCCAUACUGGUUUAUACUGGUCCAUACUGGUCCAUACUGGUCCAUACUGGUUUAUACCGGUCCAUACUGGUCCAUAUUGGUCCAUACUGGUUUAUACUGGUCCAUACUGGUCCAUACUGGUCCAUACUGCUCCAUACUGCUCCAUACUGGUCCAUACUGGUCCAUACUGGUUUAUACUGGUGCAGCUGCUGCCGCUGCUCCUGGGGGCGCUGCCGAUCUCGGAGGAUCUCGAGGAGGAGGCGCCGGUGCUGAACUUCCUGCUGAGGGCGGGGCCCGAGCUGGGCUCAGCCAAUCGCUGCUGGCGCUGCUCCGGGCGAUGGGCGUGGCCAACCCGCGGCACUUCCGGGUGGGCGUGGCCUCCCUGGACCCCGCCCACGCCGCCAUCUUGGCCCGGCUGCUGGAUGACGUCACCGGCGACCAAUAAAAACGCGGGAAAUCAGAAAGGGGGCGUGGCCUGCGCGGAGGGGGCGGGGCUUGGGGAAAAUCCAGGAAUUUACAGAAAUUCCCAAAAAAUUCCAAGAAAUUUCACCCCGAAACGUCCGGAAUUCACCUGAAAUUCCCAAAUUUAACCCAAAAUUCCCAAAUUUCACCCAAAAUUCCCAAAUUUCACCCAAAAAUUCCCAAAUUUCACCCAAAAAUUCCCCAAAAUUCACAAAUCUCACCCAGAAUCUCUUAAAAUUCCCAAUUUUCGCCCAAAAAAAUUCCCGGAUUUGAUCCAGAAAUCCCCAAAAUCCCCCAGAAUUCCCAAAUUUUACACCAAAAAUUCCCCAAAAUGCCCAAAUUUCACCAAAAUUUCCCAAAAAUUUACAAAUUUUCAACCGAAAUUCCCAAGUUUCAAAAAAAAAAAAAAAUUGCUCAAAAUUCCCAGGUUUUGUCAAGAAUUCCCAAAUUUCCCCCAGAAUUCCCCAAAAUUCCCAAAUUUUGCACAAAAAUUUCCCAAAAAUCUGAAAUUUCACCCAAAUUUCCCAAAAAUUCCCAAAUUUCCCCCAAAUAUCCUGAAAAUUUCCAAAUUUCACCCCAAAAUUCCCCAAUUCCACUCAAAUUUCCCCAAAAUUUCCAAAUUCUUCCCUAAAAUU
rnacentral:lncRNA from 1 species